GAUUGUAGCUCAAUGGUUAGAGCACUGCCCUGUCGAGGCAGAGGUUGCGGGUUCGAGUCCCGUCAGUCUCG
rnacentral:tRNA from 1 species